AUUGAACGCUGGCGGCAUGCCUUACACAUGCAAGUCGAACGGCAGCACGGGAGCUUGCUCCUGGUGGCGAGUGGCGAACGGGUGAGUAAUACAUCGGAACGUACCCUGAAGUGGGGGAUAACGUAGCGAAAGUUACGCUAAUACCGCAUAUUCUGUGAGCAGGAAAGAGGGGGAUCGCAAGACCUCUUGCUUUAGGAGCGGCCGAUGUCGGAUUAGCUAGUUGGUGAGGUAAAGGCUCACCAAGGCGAUGAUCCGUAGCGGGUCUGAGAGGAUGAUCCGCCACACUGGGACUGAGACACGGCCCAGACUCCUACGGAGGCAGCAGUGGGGAAUUUUGGACAAUGAGCGCAAGCCUGAUCCAGCCAUGCCGCGUGAGUGAAGAAGGCCUCGGUUGUAAA
rnacentral:rRNA from 1 species